rnacentral:rRNA from 1 species
GUGUCAGCAGCCGCGGUAAUACAGAGGUGGCAAGCGUUGUUCGGAAUUACUGGGCGUAAAGGGCGCGUAGGCGGCUCGCUAAGUCAGACGUGAAAUCCCCCGGCUUAACCUGGGAACUGCGUCUGAUACUGGCAAGCUCGAGUGCGGGAGAGGGAUGUGGAAUUCCAGGUGUAGCGGUGAAAUGCGUAGAUAUCUGGAGGAACACCGGUGGCGAAGGCGGCAUCCUGGACCGACACUGACGCUGAGGCGCGAAAGCUAGGGGAGCAAACGGGAUUAGAAACCCUGGUAGUCC